UUUAAAAGUCAACAAAUCACAAUCCCCUCCUUGAAGAGUACAGAAUAUAGUAGUGGUGGUGGACAUUAAAAAAAAAAAAAAAAAAGUAAAUCUAAAUAAACUUUAUUUUAAAAAUAAGUAUGUAUUUUUAUAAUGAAAGCUCAAAGACACACAAAAGGAGAUAGAGUUCAAUAAACUCUCAUUCUCACCAUCCUGAUUCAAUAAUUACCAGGAUUCUGCUACAUUUGUUUCAUUUACUCUCCCUUUUUUCUCUGAUGUAUUUUACUUUUUUUUUUAGUAAUCUCUACACCCAACAUGGGGCUUGAACUCACAACCAAGAUAGAGGUGCACGCUCCUUUGACCGAGCCAGCCAGGCGCCCCAAUGCUGAUGUAUUUUCAAGCCAAUCCUAGACAUGUCAUCUUGCUUCUAUAUACUUGGAUACUGUACCAAGAAGCACCAAGCACACUACUUAAUAAACACAAGAAAGAGGAAAAAAAAGUAAAGAACACACUAAGCAUCUGCAGAUUACAAGAUCACCUUCAAUUUAAUUAGGGGAGGAAAACUGGUAUUCAAAAUAGACAGUUUCCAACUUUACCCGAUUACAUACCACAAAUUUUCAGCGGUGCUUCCAAUUCCAAAAGAA